rnacentral:rRNA from 1 species
GCCGGACCCUACUGCUAUCGGGGUGGGACUAAGACAUGCGAGUCGAGCGUCUCCAGCUAUGGUGAGACGCGGCAGACGGCUCAGUAACACGUGGCUAACCUACCCUCAGGACAGGGACAAACCCGGGAAACUGGGGCUAAUACCCGAUAGGCGAGGGCGCCUGGAAUGGUUCUUCACCCAAAGGGCUUUGGAAGCAUGCUUUUCAAAGUCGCCUGGGGAUGGGGCCGCGUCCGAUCAGGUUGUUGGUGAGGUAACGGCUCACCAAGCCUAUAACCGGUACGGGCCGUGAGAGCGGUAGCCCGGAGAUGGGCACUGAGACAAGGGCCCAGGCCCCACGGGGCGCAGCAGUCGCGAAAACUCCGCAAUGCACGAAGGUGUGACGGGGCUACCCCGAGUGCCGUCCGCUGAGGAUGGCUUUUCCUCGGUGUAACUAGCCGGGGGAAUAAGGAGAGGGCAAGACUGGUGUCAGCCGCCGCGGUAAUACCAGCUCUCCGAGUGGUAGGGAUGAUUAUUGGGCUUAAAGCGUCCGUAGCCGGCUUAGCAAGUCUCCUGUUAAAUUCAGCGACCUAAUCGUUGAGCCGCGGGAGAUACUACUAGGCUAGGAGGCGGGAGAGGUCGACGGUAUUUCCGGGGUAGGGGUGAAAUCCUAUAAUCCCGGGAGGACCACCAGUGGCGAAGGCUGUCGACUAGAACGCGCUCGACGGUGAGGGACGAAAGCUGGGGGAGCGAACCGGAUUAGAUACCCGGGUAGUCCCAGCCGUAAACGAUGCGGGCUAGGUGUUGGGGUGGCUACGUGCCACUUCAGUGCCGCAGGGAAGCCAUUAAGCCCGCCGCCUGGGGAGUACGGCCGCAAGGCUGAAACUUAAAGGAAUUGGCGGGGGAGCACCACAAGGCGUGAAGCUUGCGGUUCAA